ACCUGCAGUGGAGGUGGCAGUGGGAAGACAGUGGUGGAAGAAUAGAAAGAGGGCUUGGCACCUGUUGGAUGGCCACACUCUGAGGUUCUUUGCUGAGAGGACCUUAGACCCUUCCUGUGCUGGCCGACCCUCCUAUCCUCCUGCGUGGGUGCAGUUUCACACCUCGCCAGCAGGGGUCUCACCUGGGUCACAUCCAGGGCUGCUUGCAGGUGGGAGAGCCUUCUCUGGGCUCCUCCCCCUCGACCGUUUAGAAUCACUGAGCUCUGGAACAUUCCACCUAAUGAGAUUUAGACACCAUUUUGAGGAUCCGAGAGAGGAAGAGGCUCUUCCCUUAAGAGAGGGAAUCAGCACCUAUGGCUUCAAAUAAAUAGUUAAAUGCUACACAUCAGUGAAAUGCUGCCUGAAAUUAAUCAGACAGUCUCACACUUACUAAAUGUAAUUACUUCAGGAAAAGGUCAAAGGAUGCCGCUGGGAUUGGUCACUUGAUAGGAUUUCCGAAGUCUCAGAGCAACGCCUCUCCCCUCAUUUAUCGGAGUCUAGGUAAAGGCACUGAGACAGUGAAUGUCAACAGCCUUUAAAAGGCAAAGAACAUUUCCCCUUUUAAAUUUAACUCCUUUCUUGCCUCACCUGGAUCGGUUCUUUCUGGGCCCUGAGCAAGUAUGACUUCAGCCCACACAGCCUCUAACAAUUC